AGGAGAACGGGGGUCAACAGCAACAGGUUGCAAUGGAGACUCCCGCAGAACACACAAACUACUCUUACCAACACACCAAGUGAAACUAAGCUCCCAGCAGGGUGGGGCCGAGGGCACGAGAUGAAUCCAACCAAACAGGAUUCAGCUGGAAGAGAACUGUGCUCCAUACCAUCACAAAGCACCCAGACUUGAACAUGGAUAUCAAAAGGAACAUGUGUGUGUGCUUGUUUGUGUGUGCGUGUGUGUGUGUGCGUGCGUGUACGUAUGUCUGUAUAUUUUUGUUUUCUGUUUUUGUUUUUGUUUUUUUUUUUUAAAGAAAAGGACAACACUCACAUUAUUGGACUUUCCUGCUCACAUCCUCAAGAGUUGAUCAACCAAAGGUGGGAAUCUUCUUCACAGAAGCUUUGAUCUAUUUUGAUAACUGAAAAAAAGGAAACAUAACAAGAAGUUUUAAAAGAAAAAAACAGAAAAAAAAUUAUGAGAGGAGGAAAAGACACAGAGCAUUAUUUUUGUGCACGUAAUAUAACAAAUUCUUAUUUUAAGAAAAAAAGAAAAAGCAUUCUGGACGUUUCAGGGUGAUUCAAGGAAGAGUUGAAACACAAUGUGUCUUUUAUUUUUUUUUUUGUAAAAUAUGCAAACUUUUAUUUUUUAUUUCCUGAUGUCUGUUGUUUGACAUUCUACCUGCAGCAGCGUGGGCGACAAUUUGUACAGAUUUAAAAAAAAAAAAAACACACACACACAAAAACAAAAACAACACUUGCUGGUCUGAUGUGUGGAGUCAUUGUAACCGUGGGAGGCAAACCGUUUAAAGCUACUUCUUCUUCCUGUAACUGCUGCAGAGAUUUCUAUUUCACGCACAGAUGAUGAUGAUGAUGAUGAUGAUAACAUUGUUUAUAGUUUAGUUAAACUCAUUCUUGUUUUUAAACUUUAAACCAUUAUUCCAUAGGUGAACAAAAGACAAUCAAUUAUUUCUAUUUAUAUUUGAAUUAUAGUUCUAUUUUUUAGAGUUUUUAGAUAAUCGAAACAUACAUUUAUAGAAAAAGAAAUUAUUUAAUACUGUAGUCUUUAAAGACAAAGUGAUGAUCUUUACCCCAUGCGUAAAUGACGAGCCCUGAUGCUCGACUCGUGUAAAUUAUUAGACUUUUCGGUUCACUUCAAGUCCUGGAUUCACCAUCCGAAUGAUACCUCUUCAUGCUAGCAGUCGUCCUGUGUUGCUAUAAUGUGACUCCACGUUACAUCCGUGUCUUUGAGAAGUGGUUUUAAGCGGUUUUGUUGUGGCGAACCUUCAGGUAUCAUUAAAAAUUCAUCCUCCGUCGAAGGAGCGGAAGCGAAAUGUGCUUCGGAUCUGAGCGGUUAGAGUACUGAGAGUGCACAAAGAACAAUGCAGUGACUAAAUUAAGAAGUAGUUGAGCAAAAGCAAAAGAGGGAAUUCGAAUAGAAGACUAACGCCAUCCCUGAGAAUAAUUUGUCUGACAGGAAGGGGAGCUGUAGGUCUUUUUUUGUUUUCGAUGCUGCUGCUGUCACCUGAGUUUGAUUCUCUGUCAGUGAUUUUUUUUUUUUGUUUUAGUUUGUAGAAAGUUUCAUGUUUUUCUGUUUGUUUUUUCUUUCGUCUGUCACUUGAAAACUUUUUGAGCUAAUUUGCCUUAUUUUUUGAUGGAUUUAUCUUUGAAGUAGUUUUGAUUUUAGCUGUAGAGUUUAGCUUUUUAUAGUAGAGUAGACGUUAGUUGUUUCCUUUUUUUUUCUCUCUUGAUGCUGUUUAUCUUGUGCACAUCACGUUUUGUUUUCACACAGGUCUCCGUUCCAAACUUCUUUUCGUCGUCUGUCCUCAUAUUGUGUCGGACCUGUCUGUAGGAAAGCCUUUCAGAACCAAACAAUGUCUUCAUUUAGUGCUGAUCCAAAAGAAUCAUACUGAUGCUGCAGCAGAGGCUUCAUACACGCGACGAACCGAGUGGAGCUCGCGUCACUACAUUCAAAAUAUGUUGACCUUUUAAUUUAUACAGACAUCAAAAACUGUAGAUAUGUAGAUAAUAGAAAUCGUGGUUUUACAAAGGACUGCUCACUAGACCAUGGAAGUGCCAUUAAAGACGAUUCUUACAGCCUUUAGUGAGACAGCAAGUCUGAAUGAAUUUGUGAGUGAUCCGAAAAAAUUCUGCAAAAACCCUUUUUUUAGCGAAGCCUUAAUGUCUCCUCUCUGGAUGAACUGCCUGAGCUCUCGCAGGAUUGACACUAAGUUGUAUAUACUGCAGAAAAAAAAAUGGCAUUGGGCUUGUUUGAGUAGUUAGCUGUAGUCUUCGCGGGGAGCUGCUCCUCGACCAUCCAUGUUGGAAUCCAGUGAAAAACACAGUGUGAUAACGUCUGUCUCCAGGCUCGUAGUUUGACGAUCCUGUUCUCACCUUUUACUUUUUUCACACGUCGACCUUUUUGCUGUGUUUUUCUGUUGUUCGUUUCCUCAACCAAAGAUGUUGUAGCCACCCAUCUUGUUUUUUUUUGGUUUUUUUAGCUCUCUGUCACAGACAAACUUCCUCUGUUGGCCUUCUGGUUUCCGGUAGAUUCAGAAAGAGAAGAGGUCGCAAUAAUGGCUGGUGAUGUGCACACAAUAUUUCACACUGUGGCCACAGUUUAAAGGUGCAGUAUGUAAAAACUGGCCACCUGUCAAUCCACAAGAGACCAGAGGGGGGCAGCAUAUCACCAGAGUAACUGCUAGCUGCUGCUAUCUGCAGCUGCCGUUAGCAAGUUAGCUCAGUUAGCCAUUCAAAUGGCGGCAUGUCACAGGAAUGUUGGACAGGAUGUAGCUACACUGUAAAAUCUGACAAAGUGACUUUACUUUAAAAUAAAACAAGUAAACCAGUUCCCCUAAAAUGAACCAGUAAAGUUGACUAACAGUUUUAAGUUAUUAAAACUUUACCAAUUCACCUGGUAAUUCUGACGUAAUUGGUGUCUUGACUUUUUUAAAGCGAGGUCAUUGUUUAAGAUUUGCAGUCUAGCUGGUCAGCAAUCUAACCUCAGUACAUGCACUGUAAAUUUUACAAAGUUGACUUUACUGUAAAGACUUCAGGAAACUGAUUUCGUCAGAAUUACCAAGUGAAGUAGACCAUUACACUGAAAUUGUUCAAGCCACAUACUUCGAACAACAAAUUGUUAUUCUCCUUGGUAAUUGUGUGGUAAUUGGUUUUGUCGAUAUUAAAUAAAGUUGCUUUGUCAGAUUUGACAGCGUAGCCACAGAAAGUCAAAACUAGUUAUUUCUUCACAUUCUGUUGAUAAAUUUCAACCAAGAUUCUCACAUAUUGCUACUUGUAGGUUUAAGGUUCUGUGAGAAUGUUUUGGGCAUCACUGCAUCUGUCAUCAGUGCGCGGAUCAAAGUGAACAUCUGCCAAAACGGUCUGGUUUUUAAUUUAAAUGAGUUUCCCUCGGUGUGCAUCAUGGAGUGUUUGAGCGCCGACACCCAGGAGAAACACAGAACCUUAAUGAUGGUCAGCGUUUUCAGACACGAGAGCUAAUUUUGUAAAUAGUCUUUUUUUUGUUUCUCCUUCCACUUCCUCCUUACACAGUUUUGUUUGCUUCUUCUUGUGUGUUUUGUCGUUUUUGAAAUUUUUUUUUUUUUUUUUUUUAAUGAAUUAUAACCUGUCCAGAUAACACAGUGACUACCAAGUUUUCAGAUUCAGUGCACCAUGAAGGAAAAUGUCAUGGAUAUUGUUUAUAUGUUCAGAGAAAUGAUAUUCCAUGUAUUAGCCAUCACUUUUAAUACAUAAACCGGGAUUUUGGAACUAUGAAAUGACCACCUGUUACGAUGCAGUGUUCAUUUAUUUUAUUUGUCUGCUCAUCAGCGGAGAUAAAAUGACAGGAAACACACAACGCUCCAAAUAAUUCAGCAUCAUGAAAAUUAUAGAGCCUUAAGUUACAUUAAAAUGUUAUGAAACGCAAAAGAGGUGUGCCCAAAAGACGGCACACAAUCUUUGAUGGAGAGAAAAAAAUCUCCUUGCACUUAUUAUUUUCAUUUGACACCAAUUCGAAAAUGCUCUUUUUGUCCAUCCUGAUGUAGAUUUGAUGGCUUAUUUCAUAGCUUCAAAAUGUUUUGCUGCUAAAACAGGAUUUCCAAACAGGUGGUUAGAUGUUGCGCGGUCUGGAUUUUCAAAAUGUCCUCUCGAAUAUCUUAAUUUGGUUGACACAGAGUACCCCUCACAUGUUUGAUUUUCAAUAAUGACGAAAGACUUAGUUUGCUAAAAAUGUUUUUGUUAUUGGAUAGUUGUAUUUUACUUUAUUAAAACUAAUAUUUCCGAACAUAUUUUGAAUAACAAAGACAUGUCCUGUUGCUCCACACUGUAUGUACCGAUUUACACUCACACUUUGAAAAUCCAGCGGGCUCGUCUCAUUCCCUGUUUGUGAACAGUUUUCUUAUUUAUACAAGAACUCAUUUUGUACAGUUUUGUUAGAGGAAAGAGGUUUUGAUAUUUGGUUAUUUUGCAAAGCCACUUGGCUACUUUUGUCUUCCUGUGCCAGAGUUGCUAAAUUGUCUGUAACUUGUGUUUUUUUAUUGAUUGAAAUGAGACUUUCCUUCUUUCUUGGUUUUCUCUUUGAAUUUGAAAAUGUCAGUUUUUCUUUUUUUUAAUAAAAGCCUUGUUUCAA